AGUGAACGCUGGCGGUAGGCCUAACACAUGCAAGUCGAACGGCAGCACAGUAAGAGCUUGCUCUUACGGGUGGCGAGUGGCGGACGGGUGAGGAAUACAUCGGAAUCUACUUUUUCGUGGGGGAUAACGUAGGGAAACUUACGCUAAUACCGCAUACGACCUACGGGUGAAAGCAGUGGAUCUUCGGACCUUUCGCGAUUGAAUGAGCCGAUGUCGGAUUAGCUAGUUGGCGGGGUAAAGGCCCACCAAGGCGACGAUCCGUAGCUGGUCUGAGAGGAUGAUCAGCCACACUGGAACUGAGACACGGUCCAGACUCCUACGGGAGGCAGCAGUGGGGAAUAUUGGACAAUGGGCGCAAGCCUGAUCCAGCCAUACCGCGUGGGUGAAGAGGGCCUUCGGGUUGUAAAGCCCUUUUGUUGGGAAAGAAAAGCAGCAGGUUAAUACCCCGCUGUUCUGACGGUACCCAAAGAAUAAGCACCGGCUAACUUCGUG
rnacentral:rRNA from 1 species